rnacentral:tRNA from 2 species
AGUCGGUCUGGCGGCACAGGAACGCCGGCGUCUGCAGCACGUCGACGACCGACGCGACCUGUUCGAUCUCGUCGAUCGAAUGC